rnacentral:guide_RNA from 1 species
CACACAAAUAGAUGACAGAGAUAGAAAGUAAGAUGAUAU